CUCAAGCCAUCACUUCCUAAGCCCAGCCUGUGUGCCCACCCCUGCACACUCCCCAGGGGAUGGUCAGACCCAAAGGGCAGCUACUCUCCUUGGGUGAAGAUCAGGCACCCUCCUGGGAUCAAGGGAGUUGCCAAGCUGACUCUAGAAGGGCCCUUCAGCCCCAGGGACCCAACAUGGGUUUCCGAAAUGACAUCUAGAGGGGCUGCUGGAGCUAAUUUCAAGGUCAGGUGAGGAGGGGGACCCAAGAGGUAGCAAGGGGUAGGGAACUUGGGAGGGGCAGGCUAGGCCCAGAGGGAGGGAAGCUCACUUGGCUGCAGGAGUCUCUGGAUAUGAUUUCCCUGAUGGCCACAGUGGCAGUCCCAGGCCUGCCCCAGGUUUUCCUGUUCCCUGCCCCUUCCCUUAAUUUCAUCUGGGGCACUGUAGGAUUAAAAAAGGAGAAAAAAGACCCUAAUUUCCAAAUGCUGCGAUCCCAAGGUACUUUUGCAAGAGCCAAGGUUGGGGCUCCUUAGUGACCUACCUUUCCCUGACCUCUUUCCCAAAAUGACCCCACCAACUCUGCAUCCCUAAUGAAUUACCCUCUCCUUUUGUCCCAGCCAGAUGAGUGAUCAAUAAAUAAUGCUGUUCACUUGAAAUAUUGAUGGCAAGUUUUACACUAGCAUCCCUUAGCUGUGCCUGUCAUUGGGGAACUCGAGAGGUGACAGAGAAAUUCAUGGCCCCCCAGAGAGCUCUCUCCUGUCUCUGCCAACAGAGAGUCUGUCUUUGCCAAGGUUUCAACCUGUUCCCAUCUCAGCCAGAAUCAUGACUCAUUCCCAUCAAGUAGGAAGAGGGAAGGUCCCCCAGAGACUCAGCCAGCAACCUCCAACCUGAGAAGAAUCCGAGUUCUACAGGUGACUCUGUUAUACCAGCAAGGUUGAAAAAUUCUGCUCUGGGAAAUGAUGUUCUACUGCAGCAAGAAAGAUUCAGAUUAGCUCUUCUGGACAAUGCCCCCUGUGUUUCUCCCUCUCUGAACAAUUUUUCAGAAAAGGGUGACUGGAGUUUGCUUGGAGGCUGAAGAUGGUUGAAGAAAGAGAGACAGGAAAAGCCUGGCUAAGAUAGCCCACCAGGGAGUGGCAAAAUGGGCAUUCCGACACAAGACCAUCUGACCCUGACUGGCAGGAGGCCUCAAAGAGGUGCAUCACUCAUGCCCCUAAGGAAAAACACCGGUAGGCGGUGGGAGUGGGCCCCCCACCCCGCCCUAAGCUUUUGGGUUGGGGAGCUCAGACUUAAGAGUACAAGAGACAGGGUUCAUUGCCGGAUUCCUUAAAUAGAUUUUUAUAAGAAAAUGUGUGUGUGUGUGCCUGUGUGUGUGUGUGUGUGUGUGUGUGUGUAAGGGAUACAGACGGAUGA